UCGGUAAUUCCAGCUCCAAUAGCAUAUAUUAAAGUUGUUGCAGUUAAAACGCUCGUAGUCGAGUACGGCUCUGUCGGUUGAUCGUGCAGCUUGCUGUUAUUGAUGCUGACUGAGCUUUGCGUCGCACCAGCGUCUUUUGAUGUUGGUGCAAUGCCACUUUGAAUAUAUCAAAGUGUUCAAGGCAAUUUGUUUGAUUGCUCAAGCAUGGAAUACAGAAUUGGCGUUUGCUGGUUCUAUGGUUCUACAAGCAUGUGCAAUGAUUGAGAUGAACGGUUGGGGGGAUACGCAUUUGGCUGUUAGAGGUGAAAUUCUUGGAUCAGUCAAAGGCGAACUGAUGCGAAAGCGUUUCUCAAGAACGUUUUUAUUGAUCAAGAACGAAGGUUAAGGGAUCGAAGACGAUCAGAUACCGUCGUAGUCUUAACGGUAAACUAUGCCGUCCAAAGACCGGGUCUUCGCGUAGAGAUUACUCGGGAUUUCGAGAGAAAUCAGAGAUUUUGGGUUCUGGGGGAAGUAUGUGCGCAAGCCGGAAACUUAAAGGAAUUGACGGAAGGGCACCACAAGGAGUGGAACAUGCGGCUUAAUUUGACUCAACACGGGGAACCUUACCAGGGCAAGACAUAGGAAGGAUUGACAGGAUGAUAGUUCUUUCUUGAUUCUAUGGGUGGUGGUGCAUGGCCGAUUCUAGUUGGUGGAGUGAUUUGUCUGGUUGAUUCCGUUAACGAACGAGACCUUCUCUCCCAAAUUGCUAUGGCCUAUGUUCAUAGGUCUUAGUAACUUGGAGUACAACAUGCAGAAAGCAUGGGGAAGAUGAAAGGCGAAAUCAGGUCUGUGA
rnacentral:rRNA from 1 species